GAGCCAGCACCCGGUGAAAUUCCCUGUUUCGUCAUCUCAGCUUGAACAACAUCUCAUGAUAAACCACACUAUAUGAUAAUAUACGAGUUCUUCUUUAUCAAAGAUACAUUUGCCUGUGAUCACAAAAAGCCAGAUUUUAAUAUUUUAUGAAGCUUUGAAUUGCACAUGAAAUUCACUUCCAUUGACUGGAAGGUUAACAUUAUAGAAAAUUAAAGAAAACUUGGAGAAAUUAUUCCUACAAUGCAAUUUCCAAAGGGAAUCAGCUAAUCCUGAGGAUGAUCUAAGUUGGGAGACGUAAACACCAUAUGCAGAUGAUAAGGGAAUAUUACGUGGUAAAUAAGAAAGUUGAAGAUGGAAAAGCUGACGUCAUCUUUGUUACACCAUUUAGUUAGUUGGCCCUUAUCAUCUAUACCACAGAUACUACACAGUCUGACACAUCUGUUUCAUAUUUGGAUAUUUUACUUGAAAAAGACGUAUUUGGUAAUCUAACGGCUAACCUCUAUGAUAAACGUGAUGACUUUAACUUUUCAAUCGUCAGCUUCCCUUACUUAUGCAGCAACAUACCUUCAUCGCUACACACGGACUUGUAUCUCUCAGUUGAUUCGAUACACAAGAUCUUAAAUGAAGUAAACUAUUGACAAACAAAUGGAUGAAACAAGAAUAUCAGCAAGCUUCCUUAAAGUCGUUCUUUCGAAAGUUCUAUGGUCGAUACAAUGACCUUGUUAGCAAAAACAAUUUUUCAUUGAGUCAAAUGCUAACUGAUGUUUUGAUACUAAUUGUUAGUCUAUUAUUUACACACUGAAUUGACGACAUAUUUUCCUGUUAUUUCCCGAUCAUGACAAGGAGCACACGGCGGGUGUGACCAGUCGGCAGGGGAUACACACUCCAACAUGGCACCUGAUCCCAAAUCUGAUUUUUUAGAAGUCCAUGGUUGUCUGCUCCUCUUUUGUAUUGUUUUAUGGACUCUUGAGCUUGACUACCGCUCGUUAUAUCCCUAUGUUUCAUCUAUAGUCAGCUAAACAUACAAAUAUGAAACAAAUAUUGCAGAUUCUGUGAGUUUUUAUAUCAAGUUCACUGGAAUACAUCGAGUCGACAUAACAAUGUUCAAUUGAUAAAACGUCGUCGAUAUAUGUGUAUGUGUAGUUGAGGGAAUGACUUGCAGUUUAAUAUGUAAGCAUAUGAAACUGGUAAGAUUCACUGAAAUACUUUUUCUUCGAUUAUUUUUUGAAAAAAAAAUGUCUAUGCAAUUGUUGUGAGUGUCCCUAACGUUUGUGGUAAAUCGAAUUUUUAUUUCCACACUAUAAUAAAUAUAUCAAACUUAGAAGCCUUAAAAUUGUCGAUAUAAAUGAGAAAGGAUGGCUAAAACGAUUUAAUAGAUUAUUAAUUAAGAUUGAUUGAGUCAGAUAUUCAUACUAUAUUGAAUCUUUAACAACUUCGGCUUAUUUUAUUUACAUAAAAUGACAAAUUAUUAUUUAAUUAUGAAUUAGUAUUAAGAUUUACGACCUGAUUUUGAAGCGAAGAUUUAUAAGUAUAUAUUUAUGAUGUAUAUUUUAUACAAUGAAUUGAAAUGGAAGAUUGAUGGCUGGUUCUUGUAUUGUAGCCGUUGUUUAAAAGUGAUAUUAUAAUUCAUAUCAUUUGUAUAACAUUCU